UCAACUGAAGCAAACUACAUAUAUUCGUAAUUUGAUCCUAAAACUCUGGGGAUUAUUGAGAAGGUUCACAGUUAUGAAAUUCCCCCGAGGCUUUACAAUUACAGAAGCGGCAAGUCGAACUCAAUCGAACGGCACCUUUGAAUUGAAACGGAGCCAACGAACGGAAAAUCGAAUCUGCCCGGAAAUCUCAAACGGACAACCUCGAUUUGAAAAUGACGCUACCACCGUAGCAAGGGCGACACUGGAAUAACAGCCAAAACGACACAUACGAACGACUUGCCAGUGAACUAAUUCCGCGUGGUUUCAUGCUGCGACGUGAUGGAGAGUAGGCUGCUGUUGGUGGUCGUUUGGGGGUGUGGUGAGGCAACGAACUGGGUGUUCUAGUCGCUGGAGUUGCUGGUCGUUUGGAAGCUGGCAGCAGGAGUGUUUGGUCUUCUUCCAAAAUAAAAAAGAAGAUGAAAAGUCUAUCUCUAUAAGUG
rnacentral:lncRNA from 1 species